GACAGAGGGUGCAAACGUUGUUCGGAAUUACUGGGCGUAAAGCGCGUGUAGGCGGCUAAGCAAGUCGGGCGUGAAAUCCCAUGGCUCAACCAUGGAAGUGCACCCGAAACUGCAUAGCUAGAGUCCUGGAGAGGAAGGUGGAAUGCUUGGUGUAGAGGUGAAAUUCGUAGAUAUCAAGCGGAACACCGGUGGCGAAGGCGGCAUCCUGGACCGACACUGACGCUGAGGCGCGAAAGCUAGGGGAGCAAACGGG
rnacentral:rRNA from 1 species